rnacentral:rRNA from 1 species
CAUGCAAGUCGAGCGGUAACAGACAUAAAGAUUCAGCUUGCUGAAUCCGGUGCUGACGAGCGGCGAACGGGUGAGUAACGCGUAGGAAUCUACCCAGUAGCGGGGGAUAGCCCGAGGAAACUCGGAUUAAUACCGCAUACGCCCUGAGGGGGAAAGGGGGCAAUUUAUUGCUCUCACUAUUGGAUGAGCCUGCGUAAGAUUAGCUUGUUGGUAGGGUAAUGGCCUACCAAGGCGACGAUCUUUAGCUGGUCUGAGAGGACGAUCAGCCACAUUGGGACUGAGACACGGCCCAGACAUCUACGGAUGGCAGCAGUUAAGAAUAUUGGACAAUGGGGGCAACCCUGAUCCAGGUAUACCGCGUGUGUGAAGAAGGCCCUAGGGUUGUAAAGCACUUUAAUCAGAGAAGAAGCAUUUUAAGUUAAUACCUUAAUUUGUUGACGUUAACUGAAGAAUAAGGACCGGCUAACUCCGUGCCAGCAGCCGCGGUAAUACGGAGGGUCCAAGCGUUAAUCGGAAUUACUGGGCGUAAAGCGCGCGUAGGCGGUUUAGCAAGUUGUAUGUGAAAGCCCUGGGCUCAACCUAGGAACUGCAUCCAAAACUACUAAGCUAGAGUACGAGAGAGGAGAGUAGAAUUUCUGGUGUAGCGGUGAAAUGCGUAGAUAUCAGAAGGAAUACCAAUGGCGAAGGCAGCUCUCUGGCUCGUCACUGACGCUGAGGUGCGAAAGCGUGGGUAGCAAACAGGAUUAGAUACCCUGGUAGUCCACGCCGUAAACGAUGACAACUAGCCGUUGGGCAGAUUUAACUGUUCAGUGGCACAGCUAACGCAUUAAGUUGUCCGCCUGGGG